rnacentral:rRNA from 1 species
CAGUAGCCGCGGGAAUACGUAGGGCGCAAGCGUUAUCCGGAAUUAUUGGGCGUAAAGAGCUCGUAGGCGGUUUGUCGCGUCUGCCGUGAAAGUCCGGGGCUCAACCCCGGAUCUGCGGUGGGUACGGGCAGACUAGAGUGAUGUAGGGGAGACUGGAAUUCCUGGUGUAGCGGUGAAAUGCGCAGAUAUCAGGAGGAACACCGAUGGCGAAGGCAGGUCUCUGGGCAUUAACUGACGCUGAGGAGCGAAAGCAUGGGGAGCGAACAGGAUUAGAUACCCCCGUAGUCCCUGUCUCUUAUAC